CUAUUGCAUCAGGCAGGAAACUCUGUUGUGAUAUCCAGCCUUGGAGCACUGGACUAGAGGAACUGCCGGAGGAGAAGUUUUCCUUGUCUACCCAAAGAAGAGGUUAAUGUCACCUGCAUCCCACGACUAUUAUGAGGAGUCCAUGCAAUUAUGAAUUCCCCGAGAGAUGGGUCCUUAAGAAGAUAAAAGAAGUGGUAUAACAAUCUUCCACUAACCAUUUUCAUAAAAUCCAUGGCUAUGAUGUAAUCACCCUGGAAUUAGAUUGAAAAAAUUACUUGAGCUAGAUUGUAUACAGUACUGUGUCAUUCUGCAAAGAACGGGACGGUUGAAAGUGGUUAAGAGCAAUAGUCUGGAACUAAAAAUGGAAAGAUUGGGAAAGAUAUUAAAAACAAACCAGCCACAACCACCUCCCAAGUCGUAACAAGAAUUGGGCAAUGGAAGUGAGGCCUGAGUCACCGUCAAACAGAAGAUUCAACGAUAGGUCAGCAAGUAGAUGGAACCAUGCUGGAAUGACCAGAUGCAGACUGCCUGAGGUUGAUGGUGGCCUGGACCUUCAUAAGAGGAUACAAAGACCUAAUGAAGAAAACGUUUUGAUAAUAGUUCUCUUCUUAUAGAAAGUAUCUCUCCACCACCAUCACCACCACCCUCAACACUCACCAAUGAGCUCAAAGCAAUUUUCAUGAAAAUAACAGCACAUCUAUGAGGUGUUCUUCCCCUCUUCUCUGCUUCCUGGCUACCAUGAAACGAGCAGCUAUGUUCCACUGUAGCCUUCCACCAUGACAUUCCUGUCUUCGAGCAAGCCAACCAUAGACCGAAACCUCUGAGACUGUAGGUCAAAAUAAACCUCUCCUCCCUUAAAUUGUAGGUGUCAGGUAUUUUUGUCUUAGCAAUGGAAA